UUUAAUCUGGCUCACAGCUCUUGUCACAAAAUGCAGGAAGGAAUCCACAAAAUUCUAUUGACCCUUCCUCUACUUUACAAACCUAGACUCUAAUUUUCAAGCAGAUGAAAGCGGUUCCAGUAUGCCCUCUUACCCCUCUUUGUCAUUUCCCUUUUUCUACAUAUUUAUCAAUUUUGCCUUAUUGUUUAUUUCUAAAACUUUCACUCCCAUUACACAGUCAUCUAAUUGUGUUUAUAUAUGCUUUCCAUUCUUGGCCAAUCUCUGACUUUUCUUUUUUGCAUCUUUUAUUUCCCCCUUUUUUUUUCUCAACUAUAAUUUUUGGAAGAAUUUCGAUUUUACUUAAAAAAACCCUCAUGUUUUAAGUUUUAUUCUCUCUUAUUUAUUAAUAUAUAUAAUCUCAUUUUGUUUUGAGUUUCCUUAUUAGUAGGAAAUCUUUGUUUUUAUUGCUUGCUUGGUUUUUUUUUUCCUUAAAAAUUUUGUCACAAUAUCUUGCUCUAUUCCACCUGUAAAAUUCUUCUCCAUUUCUCUUCUUCAUAUUUAUUUAUUGUCUUCUAUUUCAUUUCAACUUCUUUCUAAAUUACAUUCAUUUACUCUUUUCACAUUUCAUUUUUCAAUCGAAAACAUUAACAUCAUAGGACACUCUGCAUUAGAUCUGCCUCUUUGGUUUUGUGCUCAUUGGUGAUGUAUUGGAGGGACUGCAUGGGUUUCCAUUGUGUCUCUCUAUCUCAGUUUGAUGUUGCUAUCACAAAUGUUUAACUUCAUUCUUCUGCUUGUUACUGAGAAUUGGGCCCAAAGGAGUAAAUCAAUAUGAUCCCCAAAUAAAACCUGAAAAGAUUUAACAAGUU
rnacentral:lncRNA from 1 species